rnacentral:sRNA from 1 species
GGAUUGAUGUUACACUCCCGCAGGAAGGGCUGGUCAUAAUCGAGGUAUGCCGACCAGUAGUUUCGGAAUUUGGGCAGACCAAUCUCCAGCCAAGGCUUCAUAUUGCCAUUGUAAUGUAUGACCGCGGCACGUUCAAUAUCUCUGCUGCUCACAUGCGGGUUGUAACCAAGACCAAGGACAUGCCAUGAACGAUUGAGGGGAAGCGUCUUAUUCCAGAAUGUAAUCAAACCUGGAGGCAGAGUGCCAAGUUUCCAUAAAUAUGUGAAUCUUACAAGCUUUUGCCAGGAGUGAUAGAUUUCAGUUAUGUUCUGCCGCCUCCAUUCAGCCAGAUCAAAGACAUUCAUUCCAAAAGCCCAUCCACAUGCAUGGGGGUCAAAAUUCUUCACAAUGACAGGAUUUGAGAAAUUAAGGUAACGAUCAAAACGAUGGAAGCUCUCUCCACAAGUCUCUACAACACCAAUUACUUUCCCCUUCAUAUCAAUUGACCAGAGGCUGGUUAGGUCCUUCUUUAUCACUACAUCAUCAUCAAGAAAGACAAUCUUGUGGAGAUUUGGGUAAAUCUCAGGUAGAUAAAAUCGCAAAUGAUUGAGAAUAGAAAGAUAUUUUGGGUUUCUGUACUUCAAGUUUGAAUCUGAGUUUGCACGAUGUGUCCUGAAGUAGUAAUCAAUCAUUGAUUGUGAUUCGAGCUGUUUCAGCACUGGGCUGUAGCUGGCAUUUAGCCAUGUGAACUCUUCAAUAUUCCGUACUUCAAUCGUUGCUUUCCCAGGAGGGUUAGAGAGGAACCACAUUCUCAUUGGAGCAUAGUUUAGUCUGUCAGUUACUAUGACAGAAUAUUACAUACCUUGGCAUUUAACACUGUUGAAUUAACAACUACAGCUGCUGCCAAUAUAUUGUCAGAGAACAAUGCAUAGUGAUAUAGUUUGGGGUCAUCAAGUUUUUCCUUGUUUGGGAAUUGCUGAUGGCUAGGAUCCAAUAAAAAAUAUUCAUUAGCUAGCCUCAAGGGGAGGCAGUGAAGACCCUUGGGAAGGGUUUUGGCUGCAAGUUGUGUUAGGAAAACAGUUUGCUUCUUGUGUGCAUGCAGUUGCUCCUCAGCUGAGUGAAGCAUAGCUCGAAGCUUUUUGACAACAACAGAACAAUCAUCCUGCAUCAGUUU